CGUACGAUUACCGAAGUUAAGCAAAGUUGAGCCUUAUUAGUAUUAAGAUGGGCGACCACUUGGGAAUACCAGGCGCUGUAA